CUGGAUAAUUUUUAUCCAGAGUGAUUAACCACUUGCUUACAUAGCGCUCAAUUUCGUCAAAAAAAAGUGUUGUGCUGGCGCAACGUCCGUUUACUUACUACAAGUAAUGAGUAGUAUGUAGACCGGCAAAUACCUCGAGCUCGGGGCA
rnacentral:sRNA from 3 species